CGGUGAGCCUGGGAAAACCGACCGAGUUCGUUGUGAGCUCGUAAAACAACAAGUUUGGUUGUGAGCUUGGAAAACAACUGGCUAUAAUCCAAGGAGUUAUAGUGAAUUCCCAAGUGAGACUUGGGGAGUGGACGUAGGAGCAAGGGUUAGCUCCGAACCACUAUAAACAUCGUGUUUGUGAUUGCUUGUCUCUCUUUCUCUCAUUCUCAUUUCACUCACAGCACAUAGCAACUAAUUAAUCA
rnacentral:lncRNA from 1 species